CAGGGCUUGACAUGCAGGUGAAUAUGGCAGAGAUGCCAUAGUCUUUCGGGACACCUGUGCAGGUGGUGCAUGGUUGUCGUCAGCUCGUGUCGUGAGAUGUUGGGUUAAGUCCCGCAACGAGCGCAACCCUUGUUGUUAGUUGCCAUCAUUAAGUUGGGCACUCUAACGAGACUGCCGGUGACAAAUCGGAGGAAGGUGGGGACGACGUCAAAUCAUCAUGCCCCUUAUGUCCUGGGCUACACACGUACUACAAUGGCUAUAACAGCAGGGAGCUAAGGCGCAAGCCGGAGCGAAUCCUCAAAAAUAGUCCCAGUUCGGAUUGUGGGCUGCAACCCGCCCACAUGAAGUCGGAAUUGCUAGUAAUGGCAGGUCAGCAUACUGCCGUGAAUACGUUCCC
rnacentral:rRNA from 1 species